UUCACCAGACGGCAUGCUAUACUGAGCAGUGUGACCCCAAGGAUGAACAUGUUGGUCACCAGGAAGAUAAACACGAGCCUCAAGGUCAUUAGCAGAAGCAGCAAGUUGACGGCCACGUAAAAUAGUGAAAUAAUCGUCAGCCAUAUGAACACCAGAAUGUCCCUCGGUGCCGAUAGGCGUGCCAAAGAAAAUCAAGUACUCAGAAAAGGAAGCAUGCAAGAUAAACAUUGUACCCAUAGCACCACCAGCAUUGUUGUGAACCCAUUCAUCUUGAUUCACAGGAGUAAUUAAGUCUCCGUAUUCAGCAACGAGUCUGUCGC